rnacentral:rRNA from 1 species
UACGGGGGGGGCAAGCGUUGUUCGGAAUUACUGGGCGUAAAGGGCUCGUAGGCGGCCAACUAAGUCAGACGUGAAAUCCCUCGGCUUAACCGGGGAACUGCGUCUGAUACUGGAUGGCUUGAAUCCGGGAGAGGGAUGCGGAAUUCCAGGUGUAGCGGUGAAAUGCGUAGAUAUCGGGAGGAACACCAGUGGCGAAGGCGGCUACCUGGACCAGCACUGACACUGAGGCACGAAAGCGUGGGGAGCAAACAGG